rnacentral:rRNA from 1 species
UACGUAGGUCUCGAGCGUUAUCCGGAAUUACUGGGCGUAAAGUGUAUGUAGCAGGAUUUAUAAGUCUAUUUUCAAAUACCUCGACUUAAUCGAGGAAAGGGAAUAGAUACUGUAUUUCUAGAGGUUCUUAGAGGAUAGUGGAAUUUCCAGUGGAGAGGUGAAAUUCGUUGAUAUUGGAAAGAACGCCGAAAGCGAAAGCAGCUAUCUAUAAUUGCCUGACUGUAAAGUACGAAAGCUUGGGUAGCAAACGGG